UUUUCCGACCCCCACGCCCCUGGGAUGGUAAAGCUGCAGCCCACCUCGUCCUGGGGCAGAGUCUCCUUGCCUGCCUGCUUGCAUCGCUCACCAGCGUCCUAUCCUAACACCUCUGUUUCGUGCCUAUCACUUUGUCUCUCGCUGAAUUCCUUCUGCGUGGAGACAUAGAGAACCUCAACCUCAGUGAGUCCAGACGCAGGAGGAGAGCGUUUCCCAGACUCCUUGCCCCUGAGUGAGGAUACGUGCCUGGUUCUGGCCAAGGGGCUGUGGCUGAUACAGCAGGUGUCACUCUGAGUCAAAGCAAAGGAUGUGCAGACAUGAAGUCUCCACGCUCUCUCUUCUUCACCCCUUGUCUCAAGGUGUCAGAGGCACCAGCUUAUGAGGGAUGUAUGAUUGUCAGCACCUCCACUUUACGGAAGAGGACACCUGGGUAUGAUGAUAAGCUGCCCAAGGUCCCAUAUCUGGUGCUUCAUAAUCCUGGCAAAGCCACUAAGCUGAGCAGAGCUGCAGAAAUUCCCUGGCUUUCCUACUGGAAGAUGUCGAUCAAUGAGGGCGCUCGCGGCCUUUGAUGUCAGGCAUCCACGCCCGCUUCUGUAAAGACUUUCGGCUCCACAAGAGAACGGGAAGUCACUGUGAAGAAAGAGGCAGGCGAUGUAACCGGAAAAGCGCGGGUUUGAUGUCAAACAGACCUGCGUGGUUCCACCGCUUUCCGACUGUGUGACACCUCCCUCCCCCACCCCCGGCCCAGUUGCUCUCUGAACCCAAGUCUUGGAAAAUGGAACCAAUAAUACCUGUUCUUCAAGACUGUUCCUGCUGGAAGCUCCAAGAUUCAUCUGAAGGCGUGAUCACAUCCUCAAUGUUGAGUGGACUAUGAACCGGCUGCCAGAGACAGGGUUCCAAGCCGGGCCAGGCCCAUCCCAAUGCCCACCCGAAAAGACGGGACAGAGGAAAGAAAGAAACAAAAUCCUGGGGCUCCAUUGGCUUUCUUUUUGACUCCAGCUGAAGUUGCUGCAUAGUGUGGCCUUGCCAGUCCUCGCCUUGAAAAAUGAGCGGAGCUCCUUUCUUUAUGAACUUUGGUGACGUGGCAUUAUGAUGUUACGGCAGAAGAGAUUAAUAACAGCGCCUCGUUUCUGUUCCGCCACCAUUAGAGGGCUGGAAGCGACUGCCGUGAUGGAUCAUCUAAUCCCACAGCCUCAUUCUGCAGAGGACCCCGAGCCUCGACUUGGCCAAGGUCACACAGCUGGGCCACACCCAUGGCGUAUGGUUUUCACAUGGAAUCGGAGCUGCAGUUGCCGGCCUAUGCCACAGCCACAGCAAGGUAGGAUCUGAGCCAAGUCUUUGACCUACACCACAUCUCACGGCAAUUCCAGAUCCCUGGACCCACUGAGUGAGGCCAGGGAUUGAACACGCACCCUUAUGGAUACUAGUUGGAUCACAACGGAACUCCCUGAAAAAUCAAGGUCUUUAAAGCAAUUCAUCAACCCCACCAACAUCUUGGCAUAAGAAAAUUGAUUCUGUAAGUCAAAAGAACUUAUAACAUGGUAUAUUGGGAGGAUGGCAGGGCUUGGUAAGUGGUAGCAACGCAGCUGGUAGAUUUUUCUUUGUUGUGUCCUUGUCCUUACGCUCUUUUAGCCACAUUUUCAUUCAGGAUUCUUGGGUUGGAAGCAACAGAAAUGGACUCUUUUGGCCUUAAGCAAAAAGAAAAUUUGUUGAAAGGGCAUGGAGGAGUUCAUAGGAUUGACUAGAAGUUUGGAGAAGUAGGCUCAGGAGUCAAGGCAUUUAUAGAGGAGGGUAGGGUAGAGAGGUGAUAAAAAUAAUGCAACGGUCUUAUUUGGAAAUUGUACUGGAAUGUAAGAGUUUCAUCUUUCCUCCUCCCUCCCUCUCUCUCUCUUUCUGCCACUUCAUUCGAGAUUCCAAUUUCAGCGAAGGAGCAUCCAAUUGGCCUGUCUUGGUCAGAUUCCCACCACCCCCAUGGUUAGGGGAACACAGCAUAUUCGAAAUGGCAUUCCCAUGAGGUACAUUCCAUGGAAAAGUAAUACCACAAAGAAAAUAUGGACACAGUUAUCAAAGGAAGAUAAAACAGGUGCUGGGUAGCCAACAAUAGCCUAUUUCCACUAUAUCCUUUAAAAAAAAUCCCAGUAACUCUUCUAUGAUUACUGAUUUUUCAGGAGAGAAAUUUAACAAUGGAAGAGUGUAUACAUAGUGAUGAAAAGAAUGGGAGGAUUUAUAAGAUACAAGUCAUUUUCUUUGAGUUGUGGGACAAUGGUUGGGUCCAUUUUUCUUCUGUUGUUUUUUCCUAUAGAGCACAUUUAUAACCUUUUAAAAGUAAACUAUAUUUUCUACUUUAAGAUGAGUGAAAUGAGGGGGGAGUGUCCCUUUUGACUGGGGACAUAGUCACUAGUUACUCUAUGUUAAUAACAGAAGCAUACAUUCCUCUCGAGGGGCAACAGUGUUCUUAUACAUUAAACUCUCAACAGAAACCAAAAGAACCACCACCAAAAAAAUCCCACCCAGUUUGGAAAGGACUUGUGCUUGUGGGUCGGGGGCAGAAGGAAGCAAUUUCCCUCCAUUUUCUGCCUGAGCAGGCCUUUUGCACUUUGAUAUUCGUUUCACUAAUAAGGUGUUUCAUUAUUUCUCCCACAAAAAGAGCUGGUGCUGUUAUGAGAUGCUGUUGAAGACUCUGGUUUGCCCAGAUGUGCCGCAGUGAAAACAGCCUUUCUCUGACGUGCAUGACUUGUGAGGAUGAUGGGACCUGUGGGAAGAGGGGAUCCUUUUUCAGAGUUUGGAAAGAGAGACAAAAUAACGCCAUCUGCCCUGCAUGGCUGACAGAAACACAUUCUUCCCUAAUCAGUGGGUCACUCACUUCCGCACUAUGUUGCAGGGAAGCAUCAUCUGAUUCCAAGCCUAAGGCUGGGUCAUCCGCGGCACUGACUUCUCCCGACCCUUCUCCGAGCUUCCCGUGCCAGUUUUCAUCAUCAAAUUUCUCUGCUCCCUUGGACCAGCGGAAAAGAAGUUAUGAGCUCUCUCCAUCAUUCGCCGGUCUCUUCGGCCCUUCCUCCUUUGAAGUUUUCUUAUUCGGGGUCUUUUUUCGCUUCUUCUCCAUGUUUCAUCCUCUCUCACUGUAACCUUUUUAUCUCUGGAGAGUUCUCUCUGUGCCUCUGGGCCCUUCUCUUUCUAGUUGGUUCUCAGAACCCAUUCUGGGAUUCUAUUUCAGUCCAUCCGUCUCUCCAACAGACCACGGGUGAAACCAGGGCCGGUAAUCAGUCCCAGCUGCUGGAGGCGUCCGCUCUGGGUCGGCCCCACGUUUGUGGGCUGAUGUUUUGCUUCCCAUAAUGCUCUGGGAGUACUGCUGCUCAGAGCUUGGCUUGUGCUUUU
rnacentral:lncRNA from 1 species